rnacentral:tRNA from 1 species
GGUCUGGUAGCUCAGCUGGAUAGAGCAACUGCCUUCUAAGCAGUAGGUCACUGGUUCGAAUCCAGUCCAGAUCACCA